rnacentral:tRNA from 1 species
GUGGCGUCACAUAUUCCAAUGUUUUGUCGCAAAUCAUUGAAAUUUAUGGGAAAUGUAUAAGGAUUGUGAUUCCUGUCGUCGUGGGUUCGAGUCCCAUCAGCCACCCCA